GAUGAACGCUGGCGGCGUGCUUAACACAUGCAAGUCGAACGAUUAAAGCCCCUUCGGGGGUGUAUAGAGUGGCGAACGGGUGAGUAACACGUGGGCAAUCUGCCCCUCACUUCGGGAUAACUCAGGGAAACUUGAGCUAAUACCGAAUACUCCGAUCGGAUCGCAUGGUCUGACCGGGAAAGCUCCGACGGUGAGGGAUGAGCCCGCGGCCCAUUAGCUUGUUGGUGGGGUAAUGGCCCACCAAGGCAACGAUGGGUAGCCGCGCUGAGAGGCGGAUCGGCCACACUGGGACUGAGACACGGCCCAGACACCUACGGGUGGCUG
rnacentral:rRNA from 1 species